CCGAUCUUAGCUCAGUUGGUAGAGCGGGAGACUGUAGUGAGCCCCGAAAAGGGCUAAAUUGUCAUCUCUAGGUCGCUAGUUCGAAUCUGGCAGAUCGGA